ACCUGGGACAGCUCAGUCAGUAGAACAUGAGACUCUUAAUCUCAGGCUCAUGGGUCUGAGUCCCAUGCUGGGCA